rfam:Salmo salar isolate Sally breed double haploid chromosome ssa23, whole genome shotgun sequence.
UGCAUUCACUACUGUAAAGUUGCUCUGGAUAAGAGCAUCUGCUAAAUGACUAAAA